AAUGAACGCUGGCGGCAUGCCUAACACAUGCAAGUCGAACGAGAUCGUGACUUCGGUUGCGGUCUAGUGGCGCACGGGUGCGUAACGCGUGGGAAUCUACCCCUUGGUUCGGAAUAACAGUGAGAAAUUACUGCUAAUACCGGAUAAUGUCGCAAGACCAAAGAUUCAUCGCCGAGGGAUGAGCCCGCGUAAGAUUAGCUAGUUGGUGGGGUAAAGGCCUACCAAGGCGACGAUCUUUAGCUGGCCUGAGAGGAUGAUCAGCCACACUGGGGACUGAGACACGGCCCAGACUCCUACGGGAGGCAGCAGUGGGGAAUAUUGGACAAUGGGCGCAAGCCUGAUCCAGCAAUGCCGCGUGAGUGAUGAAGGCCUUAGGGUUGUAAAGCUCUUUUACCCGGGAAGAUAAUGACUGUACCGGGAGAAUAA
rnacentral:rRNA from 1 species